UCUAAAAAUAAAAGUAAAUAAUAAAUGUUUACAAAUGUUCCCCAAAUGAGAGAUUUAGCAGAGCAAGUUCUGCAAAGAAGGCCUCUUGCAAACAUUGGCUUCCUAAACAGUCAACUCACUGGGGCAGAAGCCAACUCUCUUAAUCUAGUUGAUGUCAGUGUAACUGAACGCCUGUUAGUCGAGGUGAGACACUGUCCCCUAGCACGCCUAGGGCAUGGAGGUAAAGAUGACCCAUGAUAAGGUGGCCUCAUUUGGUAGCAAAGGCAAAUUGAAGAUUUCUUGAUCCAUAAAUCAGUCUAUAAAAAAUAAGUAAGACUUUGGACUAACAGUUGGUAGAUUUUGGAUACCUGGGGUUUUUUCUUGUUUUGUUUUGUUUUUGCCUGUUUGCAAGCAUCCAACACCCCUCUCGAAUCAGUGUCUUGCGGAAGCAGAAGAAAAGUAAUACAUCUAUUGUAUUUUGAAAUGAAAGCAAGAAUUAUUUUGCUGCAGAGCUAUAGCUUAACAUUUCUAGCAAAAUGUGGAUCCUUCUUCUCAAUCUUCAUUUAGGAUGCUGUGACUACAGCCCUCUGUUUAGUUAGUGGAAUUGAGAACAAGGCCCAGGUGGAUGAUUGAGGACUAAACCCCAAACUUGCCUUGGAUCACUCCACUGUUUCAGGACAUCCAGGGCUCCGGACAUUGAGAAAAUUUCCCUUUAAGUUACGAUGGGAAUCCAGAACAAUGAACGCCGUAUGGACCCGUCUACGCUGUGAAAUACUUAAGUGCUCAGAAGAAGUCAUGUUCUGGUUGCUGCAAGCAUGUGAUGCCCUGUCAUUAAAAUAAGAAUUAGAUUGUUAUCCUC